rnacentral:rRNA from 1 species
UUCCGUAGGUGAACCUGCGGAAGGAUCAUUACAGUAUGUUCAGGGGGGCUGCUGCUGGCUCCUUCUCGGAGCAUGUGCGCGCCCCUCGCCUUCAUCCAUUACACACCUGUGCACCACGAGCGAAGCCUCCCGUCUGGAGCCGUCUCGCGUUUCGUUACGCGAGGCUGGGGCCUCGUUCUUUUCUCAUACAACUACAGCCUGUCUUUAACGCAUGUUUAAUGUUCUACGGAACGAUAUAAAAUACAACUUUCAACAACGGAUCUCUUGGCUUUCGCAUCGAUGAAGAACGCCGCGAAAGUGCGAAACGUAAUGUGAAUUGCAGAAUUCAGUGAAUCAUCGAAUCUUUGAACGCAUCUUGCGCUCCUUGGUAUUCCGAGGAGCACGCCUGUUUGAGUGUCGUGAACUCUCUCAACCUUUGUUUCCUUUUGGGGACUGGGUUGGAUUUGGACGCCUGCCGCGAGUUCUGCUCGCCGGCUCGUCUUGAAAUGCAUCAGCUGGUCCGCCGCAUGAGCUCGGUUCAACAACGGUGUGAUAAGAAACGCUUCGUGUCUGUAGCGCCGUUUUCGCCGACUCUAGGAGGGCUGCUUCCAACCGUCUUCGGACAAUUACAUUCAUGUCAUCUGACCUCAAAUC